ACAGCAGUAGCCGCGGGAAUACAGAGGGUGCGAGCGUUAAUCGGAUUUACUGGGCGUAAAGCGUGCGUAGGCGGCUUCUUAAGUCGGAUGUGAAAUCCCUGAGCUUAACUUAGGAAUUGCAUUCGAUACUGGGAAGCUAGAGUAUGGGAGAGGAUGGUAGAAUUCCAGGUGUAGCGGUGAAAUGCGUAGAGAUCUGGAGGAAUACCGAUGGCGAAGGCAGCCAUCUGGCCUAAUACUGACGCUGAGGUACGAAAGCAUGGGGAGCAAACAGGAUUAGAUACCCGUGUAGUCCCUGUCUCUUAUAC
rnacentral:rRNA from 1 species